rnacentral:rRNA from 1 species
UACGUAGGGGGCAAGCGUUGUCCGGAUUUAUUGGGCGUAAAGAGCGUGUAGGCGGUCAGGUAGGUCGGUUGUGAAAACUGGAGUCUCAACCUUCAGAGGUCGACCGAAACCCCCUGGCUAGAGUCCGGGAGAGGAGAGUGGAAUUCCUGGUGUAGCGGUGAAAUGCGCAGAUAUCAGGAAGAACACCCGUGGCGAAAGCGGCUCUCUGGAACGGUACUGACGCUGAGACGCGAAAGCGUGGGGAGCGAACAGG